rnacentral:lncRNA from 1 species
ACACCCACUCUGAGAAAACACUUGACUUUCACUGGCCAUGAGAACCAUCUGGAUUCUGGUGAUAACUGGAUCCUCCUGUUCCCAAGGCUACCCAUCAAGUAGCCCUCCAGAUCUACAGAUUGGAUUCAAAUGAGCUAAUGGAUCGCUCCUUGCAUGUGUUCAGAUAUGAGAGUUGGCCCAGAAGGAGAGUUUCCAGGAAAUCUCUAGAUUUCAGAGGGAACAGUCUGAUCAUCAAUAUUGGACUCUCAAUAGAUGAAAAGAGAUUAUGUGUCCUGGAGGAAGAGAAUAGCUCAGAGGUGACCUUGCUCAUUCCUUCUUUCCAAAUAGUUUUAAGUAGCAAAAAGUCUAUUGACUUUUGCCCUGGUAUCCACUUUAGUGGUCAGUCCCUCUUAUUCCUCUGUAGAUUCAAUGAUCAUUUUGGUAGAUCCUCCAUCUUUUUCUUUUAGGGACUUAUUUAGCAUUACUUCCCCCCCCUUGUGUGUAUAGCUUGCAGAGAACUGUGGGAGAUACACAGAGAUGAUGCUGUAGAGCUUAGCCUUUAUUGAAGUUUCUCACAACCAAUAGAGGACCAGCUGAGUAUUGUAUCAUCCUCACAAAAACACAACCACAGUUUAAACAACAUAUGAAUGUGUUUGUCUCUCUUACCAUAGGGGUACAACUCAGGGCUUGACUAUUGCCUCGAAUCCCUGACACCCAGGCUCCAUGCAUCUCCUGCUCAGCACCAGGGUGCAAAUCUUAUCUUCACGCAUACCAGAAAACUGUCAGUGCUUCAGCCAUCACAACUUAUUCCCAAGUGGAAAGGAAAGGCAAAAACAGCUGGUGCAGAGUCUCUGACUGGUUUUCCUAGCAGUAUUCCAGUGGUGUUUGCUUUUGUUGUUUUCCAGAGAGACAUCAUGCGAUCACCAAGAGCAAGCAAGUGAGCACACUGUGACUCUCCAAAAAACUGAGAGAUCUCUUUAUAAGUAAACCAGGAACUGAAAGACCUCUUUUAAAUAGAUCAGGAAGAGUGUGGUUGGUCGGGCAUUUCAGAGACUAAACCAUGGAGUAUAUAAAAUCAAGAGUAAACUGUUAAGUGGGUUUUAUCAGGUUAAAGCCUUAUGGCCAGGAAUUCGAAGAUUAGGCCCAUGAUCUAUCUCUCUCUCUCUCUCUCUCUCUCUCUCUCUCUCUCUCUCUCUCUCUCUCUUUCUGUUUUAAAAAGAUUUAUUUAUUAUUAUAUGUAAGUACACCACCCGGCUCAAGAAUAUUUCUUUGCGUUUUUGUGUUCUUUUAAAAAAACUAUUUAUAUUAUGUAUAUGAGAACAUUGUAGCUGUCUUCAGACACACCACAAGAGUGUGUCAGAUCUCAUUACGGAUGGUUGUGAAGCACCAUGUGGUUGCUGGGAUUUGAACUCAGGACCUUCGGAAGAGCAUUCAGUACUCUUGACUGAUAAGCUAUCUCUCCAUCCCAUCCCAUGAUCUUUCUUGAUAGGUGGGCAUGGGAGUCGGGGCAGAAAGCCCUGUGCCAGGAUGAGAUGAAAGUUCUCAAAGCAGUGGAUAGAGGAAACAGGGAGAGGGAAGGAUCCAGGAAGGCUUCCCUCUGUUUUCUGGGAGUGUGAAGAUCUGCAGAGAUCUGCAAAUACUAGCUGACUCCACCUCCAGGGAUGCAGAUGUUACAGUACUCUGUAUACUCACUGACAUGUUGAUUAAUCGGAAAGAACAGAAAGUCCAGAAACAGAUCCCUGUAUUGAUAAAAACAAACAAACGAACGAACCAACCAACCAACCUGGGGUUUCUCCCCAGUGGGUGUGUGGGACCCUGAGGCCGUGAAUGCUAGCCAUUGCUCUACUACAGAGCUGCAUUCUCAGCCAUACACUGAUUUUGACAAGGACUCAAAUGCAGGCAGUAGAGAACAAAAAAAAAAAAAAAUAUUACCUUAUUUUAAAAAAAAUGAAUAAAUAAAUAAAAAUUAACUCA